UAUAUAUACUUUAAAUAGUACUCAUGGCUGUCUUCCUCCAUACCAUUUCCAUUUUUACAUCUUAAAUUUUUACUUUUCAUCACCUGCCAGGUUCUUUUCAGAAAACUACUUUGUUUGAGCAGGGCUCACAAUACUCUGUUCUCCAAAUUUUUCUGGCUUAAUCAUAGCUUCCAGUAGCCAUUAUUCUUUUACAUGUAUGGUACUGGAUACUGAAUCCUGGACCUCACACAUACUAGGCAAGCACUCUACCACUGAGCAAUACCCUAGCCCCCUCUCCCUUUCUUUUUUCAUUCAUUCUUUUGAAGCAGGGUCUCCCUAAGUAGCUCAGCAGCCUUUGAACUCCCUAUAGCCCAGAUAGGCCUGAACUUAUGAUCCUCCUGUCUAAGCCUUUGGACUAGCUAGGAUUUCAGGCAUAUGCCACUGGGUCCAGCUCAUUAUUCUUUAUUUAGUUUUAGGCAUAUACCUUCUAUGAAAUCUCAGCCAGGUAUGUAGUAUUUUGAAAGUUAGUCCUGUGUGGACUUUAAGACUAGAUUUCUCAACCCUUGCUCUUCAUUGAAAUGGCACACAAUUGUGUAGCUAUUAUCAUUUGAUAAUUAUUUCUGUGGCUAAUUUUCAAUGAUCUUUGCAGAAGCUGUCUCUCUUCAAAGUUAGUGUCUUGCCUGUCUAGUCCCCAGUAACUCCAAGCACACUACAUUGGAUUAUUUGUUUAAUAAACACCUGUUAAGGAAUUGAAGUACUAGCAGUAAAUAUAAAUAGACAGCAGCAACAAAAAGCUCACCUCCUAUGAAACAUAUUCUGAUAGAGACAGACUGGAAAUAAACACACAUAUUACAUAGGGUGCUUUAGAAAAAAGUCGUGUUUUAUAUAUCUCUGUAUUUGUGUAUAUUGUCAUUAAAAUGCUUAUAUGUCAGUGUUUUUGAAAAAUAUAAAACUUCAAAAGCAUUAAAAUGUACCUUAUUUAGAGUAUUUUAAAGAUAAAUAGGGAAGGAUUAUAGCCUUAGCAAAAGUCACAUAAGUCACUUAUUAUAAUAUAAUUAUAAUAAUCAUGUCGUUUCAAUGAAAGGUGAAGGUUGAUUAACAUAAUCUUAAAGUCCUGGAAAGACUCACUUUUAAAGCACCAAUUGUCAGGCUGAUACCUGGUGGAAGGUCAGUGGAUAUGCUAGGAAUCAGGGACUGAUAAAUAUAGUGGUUGGAAAUUCCUGCAAAGUAACAUUUAAGAAAAUACUUGUUUUUCUCUUAUAGUACUUGGCAUCAAACAAAAGCACUCUACUUUUGGCCAUACUUCAGCCCUUGUUUUAUUAAGAUAAAAAAAACAUAACUAUGCAGCCCAGGCUGGCCUCUGAUUUGCUGUGUAUAAAAAGCACAGGUUGUCCCAGAACUCAAGUUUCUUUUUCUUCAGCUCCUCAAGCGCUAAUGUUAGCUGGAAUGCUCCAUCCCCCGAACUUAAGAGAAUGCUUACAGAAGACAGUGUGUGCUUAGGACCGUGGUGAAGACAGGAAGGGGGUUAAACAGGCGUUCACGGAUUGGAACAGGGGAAGGAUGCAGAAUCAUCAUGAGUUCAGAAUCAAAUGGUGGAGUUUCUGCACCACAUGUUGGUUUGAAACUGAACAGUUUUUCAGGUGAUCAUCUUGCUCCUGCCUGAAGAUGGAAAGAAAUAAGGCAUCCAGUGGACUACCUCGUUACAAGAUACUGCGAUUGCAGAUGUGUGCCAUUAUGCCUGGUACAUUUCUUCAUUAUGCCUGAAAAAACCCACAUGCUCUGCAUCCAUCUGUUGAGGCAUACCUAGCCUGAUUCCACAACUUGGCUACUGUGAAACCUGCUGUAAUAAACAUGGGUGUGCAAACAAA